AUGAGGCCACAGCAGUCACUGGUGUCUGGGAAGGUGUUCAUUCAGCAAGACUACAGCAGCGGCAUGUGCUGCCAGUUCCAGACCAAGUUCCCCGCAGAGCUGGAGAACAGGAUUGACAGACAGCAGUUUGAAGAAACAGUUCGAACUCUAAAUAACCUUUAUGCAGAAGUAGAGACUUGGGGGCCAGUCGUAUCUUGAAGGCUGUUUGGCUUGUUUAACAGCAUACACUAUCUUCUUAUGCAUGGAAACUCAUUAUGAGAAGGUCUUGAAGAAAGUCUCCAAAUACAUUCAAGAACAGAAUGAGAAGAUAUAUGCUCCCCAAGGCCUCCUCCUAACAGACCCCAUUGAGAGAAGACUUCGAGUUUUCAGAUUGAAAUCACCAUCUAUGAAGACAGAGGUGUGAGCAGUGGAAGAUAAACCACAGAGUUACAGGUCCUGCCUCCAGCUGGGACCUUCGUCUAUCCACUGGCCGAUGGCAGAGUGUCCCUACCUCCUCUCCAGAGNGUUAUUCUCUUGUCUCUGCUGCCAGAGCCACGGUGCCACACCUGGAGUCACCGCUCGUCACUCAGCAUCCACUUUGUCUCCCAAUUGUGUAGGACUCUGAUCUUUUGAUUUGUUUCCAAGAAAAUAAAGGAAGCAAUUCUCUUUA